rnacentral:misc_RNA from 1 species
GAUGAAGAACGUAGCGAAAUGCGAUACGUAGUGUGAAUUGCAGAAUUCAGUGAAUCAUCGAAUCUUUGAACGCACAUUGCGCCCUUUGGUAUUCCAAAGGGCAUGCCUGUUCGAGCGUCAUUUGUACCCUCAAGCUUUGCUUGGUGUUGGGCGUCUUGUCUCCAGUCCGCUGGAGACUCGCCUUAAAGUCAUUGGCAGCCGGCUUACUGGUUUCGGAGCGCAGCACAAGUCGCACUCUUUUCCAGCCAAGGUCAGCGUCCAACAAGCCUUUUUUCAACUUUUGACCUCGGAUCAGGUAGGGAUACCCGCUGAACUUAAGCAUAUCAAUAAGCGGAGGA